CGACGAUGAUGUUCCUUCGGGAACUGAUUAGUGGCGAACGGGUGAGGAACACGUGAAGAAUCUGCCCUCCACUUUGGGAUAACUCCGGGAAACCGGGGCUAAUACCGAAUAUUGAAACAUAAGUGGCAUCACUGAGUUUUGAAAGAAUUUCGGUGGAGGAUGACUUCGCGGCCUAUCAGCUUGUUGGUGAGGUAAUGGCUCACCAAGGCGACGACGGGUAGCCGGCCUGAGAGGGCGACCGGCCACACUGGGACU
rnacentral:rRNA from 1 species